UACGAAGGGGGCUAGCGUUGUUCGGAAUCACUGGGCGUAAAGCGCACGUAGGCGGACUCUUAAGUCAGGGGUGAAAUCCUGGAGCUCAACUCCAGAACUGCCUUUGAUACUGGGAGUCUUGAGUUCGGGAGAGGUGAGUGGAACUGCGAGUGUAGAGGUGAAAUUCGUAGAUAUUCGCAAGAACACCAGUGGCGAAGGCGGCUCACUGGCCCGAUACUGACGCUGAGGUGCGAAAGCGUGGGGAGCAAACAGGG
rnacentral:rRNA from 1 species